rnacentral:misc_RNA from 1 species
GUGAAUCAUCGAAUCUUUGAACGCAUCUUGCGCUCCUUGGUAUUCCAUGGAGCAUGCCUGUUUCAGUGUCACGUAAACCCUCACACUUGUGAUGUCAAAGUCACAAGCUGUGGAUUUGGACUGUGCCGUAAAUGGCUCGUCCUGAAAUGCAUUAGCUUGCGCUUGUUAGAGUGCUCGGCACGGUGUGAUAAUUAUCUGCGCCCUCGCCUUAGGCCUCUUCUAAAUGUGCUGCUUCUAAUCGUCCCUACGGACAACUUUUCAAACUUUGGCCUGAAAUCAGGUAGGACUACCCGCUGAACU